GACGAACGCUGGCGGCGUGCUUAACACAUGCAAGUCGAACGGACAGGCCCUGCUUUUGUGGGGUGCUCGAGUGGCGAACGGGUGAGUAACACGUGAGUAACCUGUCCUUGACUUUGGGAUAACUUCAGGAAACUGGGGCUAAUACCGGAUAGGAGCUCCUGCUGCAUGGUGGGGGUUGGAAAGUUUCGGCGGUUGGGGAUGGACUCGCGGCUUAUCAGCUUGUUGGUGGGGUAGUGGCUUACCAAGGCUUUGACGGGUAGCCGGCCUGAGAGGGCGACCGGCCACAAUGGGACUGAGAUACGGCCCAGACUCCUACGGGAGGCAACAGGGGGAAAUAUUGCACAACGGGCGGAAGCCUGAUGCAGCAACGCCGCGUGCGGGAUGACGGCCUUCGGGUUGUAAACCGCUUUCGCCUGUGACGAAGCGUGAGUGACGGUAAUGGGUAAAGAAGCACCGGCUAACUACGUG
rnacentral:rRNA from 1 species